CGAUGUCGAGCCACUAAGGUGGUGAAGUCAUUGAUGCCAUGCUUCCAGGAAAAGCCUCUAAGCUUCAGAUAGUAAGGAAUCGUACCCCAAACCGACACAGGUGGGUAGGUAGAGUAUACUAAGGGGCGCGAGAUAACUCUCUCUAAGGAACUCGGCAAAAUGACUCCGUAACUUCGGGAGAAGGAGUGCCUUAUUCGUAAGGCUGCAAUAACAAGAUCCAAGCAACUGUUUAUCAAAAACACAGGUCUCCGCUAAGUCGUAAGACGAUGUAUGGGGGCUGACGCCUGCCCAGUGCCAGAAGGUUAAAGAAGUCGGUUAGCAUUAGCGAAGCUGGUAACUGAAGCCCUGGUGAACGGCGGCCGUAACAAUAACGGUCCUAAGGUAGCGAAAUUCCUUGUCGGGUAAGUUCCGACCCGCACGAAAGGCGUAAUGAUUUGGAUACUGUCUCGGAGAGGGGCUCGGUGAAAUAGACUUGUCUGUGAAGAUGCGGACUACCUGCACCAGGACAGAAAGACCCUAUGAAGCUUUACUGUAACUUGAAAUUGAAAUUGGACUUUAUUCGCGCAGUAUAGGUGGGAGGUGUUGAUUAUAAUCUUGCGGGAUUAUUGGAGCCAUCAGUGAGAUACCACUCUUGUAAUGUUAGAUUUCUAACUUUGAAUCAUUAUCUGGUCAAAGAACAGUUUCAGGCGGGCAGUUUGACUGGGGCGGUCGCCUCCUAAAUGGUAACGGAGGCGUACAAAGGUUUCCUCUGAACGGGUAGAAAUCGUAUCUAGAGUGUAAAGGCAUAAGGAAGCUUGACUGUGAGACCUACAAGUCGAGCAGGGACGAAAGUCGGUCUUAGUGAUCUGACGGUACUGAGUGGAAAGGCCGUCACUCAACGGAUAAAAGUUACUCUAAGGAUAACAGGCUGAUCUCCCCCAAGAGUUCACAUCGACGGGGAGGUUUGGCACCUCGAUGUCGGCUCAUCGCAUCCUGGGGCGGUAGUACGUCCCAAGGGUUGGGCUGUUCGCCCAUGAAAGCGGUACGCGAGCUGGGUUCAGAACGUCGUGAGACAGUUCGGUCCAUAUCCGGUGUAGGCGUUAGAAUAUUGAGAGGAGCCUUCUUUAGUACGAGAGGACCGAGAAGGACAUACCUCUGGUGUACCAGUUAUCGUGCCAACGGUAAACGCUGGGUAGCUAUGUAUGGAGUGGAUAACCGCUGAAAGCAUCUAAGUGGGAAGCCCACCUCAAGAUAAG
rnacentral:rRNA from 1 species